rnacentral:rRNA from 1 species
UACGAAGGGGGCUAGCGUUGCUCGGAAUUACUGGGCGUAAAGCGCACGUAGGCGGAUUGUUAAGUCGGGGGUGAAAUCCUGGAGCUCAACUCCAGAACUGCCUUCGAUACUGGCGAUCUAGAGUCCGGGAGAGGUGAGUGGAACUGCGAGUGUAGAGGUGAAAUUCGUAGAUAUUCGCAAGAACACCAGUGGCGAAGGCGGCUCACUGGCCCAUUACUGACGCUGAGGCACGAAAGCGUGGGGAGCAAACAGG